GACUUUUACACAUGCUUCUUGCCAACUUUUGGAUCUGGGAGAGGGGUUGAGAAGACCUCAUUCACAUAUCUCAGGCCAGGGUUGGCCAUGGGAAUAGCAAAUAUAAUUAAAGAAAUAGUCUCCUUCUGAUAAUCUCAGAACAUCAUCAUCAGCUCAACUGAUACAGAGCUGGAAUAUUAGAAGUCUUCAGAAGUUGCUUAAUUUUUAAGGACGAAAAUGCUGAGGGUGCUAAUGGUCUUUAUUUUUUUCAUAGACAUGGUGAUAAGGAUCUGUAAGACACAAGGACAUUGGCAUAGCUCAGAAUGUGAUUAAAUGUUGUACAUGAGAAAUAUGCAAUGCAAUUGUGUUUGUCAAUUAAAAAAAUAAAAUAUAUACAGGAUUGCUUUGGGGAUAUUCCCACCACCAGCCAGAAUGUUAACUACAUUUUGGAUAUUUCGAUAUGAGUUGCAUUUUGAUUGUAAGGUUACUCAACUUGCUAUUCUUUAUUCUAUGGUGGCAAAAACAAGAUAAUUCCAUCCAAUCAAAAUGCUUUGGAAGCUUUAAUAUAAAUUGCAAGUUAGCUAAAAUUAUUAAAAGAUGGCUAGGAAAAUGCUAACGAUCUGUGCAAUUUGUUUUGUAUUAUUUCUCCUAAAAUUAAAGUUGGAGAACUAAGUGCAAAUCACCAGAACAGCUAAUCCAAGUGGUUUUUGUACCACUUGUCUUUCUCAUAGGGAGUUUGAACUUUUUAAGUGACAUGAGAGCAAUCAUGGGACACUAUACUGACAAAAUGUGUUUAACCCUCUAUCCAAGUUCAUGUCAUAGCAGGUAGUUAGGAUUGGACACAUAUGAAUGUUUGUUGAAGUGUUGUGCCUCUGAAGGAAAAUCACAGAUUCUUCAACCACAUGUAUUCAUGUAGAUUCCUGCAGAAAUAUCUGGAGUAGCACUCCUGGCUGGUUUGAAUUAUGGAUUAACCAACGAAUGCUUUGAUGUAUAAUAUUUCAAUGAGAACCAAAGCUAUGUCUCCUAGAGGGUUAUGUGGCAGAUGUAUUUGUCCACAUUAGACUCCUCAUUAUAUAAGACAGCUGCGUAGAUGCAGGACAAUAUCAACCAUGAGGCUUAUGCUUGCAGCCCAAGCAGACAA
rnacentral:lncRNA from 1 species